rnacentral:rRNA from 1 species
AUUGAACGCUGGCGGCAGGCUUAACACAUGCAAGUCGAGCGGGGAAGGGUAGCUUGCUACCUGACCUAGCGGCGGACGGGUGAGUAAUGCUUAGGAAUCUGCCUAUUAGUGGGGGACAACAUUCCGAAAGGAAUGCUAAUACCGCAUACGCCCUACGGGGGAAAGCAGGGGAUCUUCGGACCUUGCGCUAAUAGAUGAGUCUAAGUCAGAUUAGCUAGUUGGUGGGGUAAAGGCCUACCAAGGCGACGAUCUGCAGCGGGUCUGAGAGGAUGAUCCGCCACACUGGGACUGAGACACGGCCCAGACUCCUACGGGAGGCAGCAGUGGGGAAUAUUGGACAAUGGGCGAAGGCCUGAUCCAGCCAUGCCGCGUGUGUGAAGAAGGCCUUUUGGUUGUAAAGCACUUUAAGCGAGGAGGAGGCUACUUGGAUUAAUACUCUAGGAUAGUGGACGUUACUCGCAGAAUAAGCACCGGCUAACUCUGUGCCAGCCGCCGCAGUAAUAC